rnacentral:rRNA from 1 species
CGACCGCUGGCGGCAUGCCUACCACAUGCAAGUCGACCGAGACCUUCGGGUCUAGUGGCGCCCGGGUGCGUAACGCGUGGGAACCUGCCCUUAGGUUCGGAAUAACUCCCCGAAAGGGGUGCUAAUACCGGAUAAUGUCUUCGGACCAAAGAUUUAUCGCCUUUGGAUGGGCCCGCGUUGGAUUAGCUAGUUGGUAGGGUAAAAGCCUACCAAGGCGACGAUCCAUAGCUGGUCUGAGAGGAUGAUCAGCCACACUGGGACUGAGACACGGCCCAGACUCCUACGGGAGGCAGCAGUGGGGAAUAUUGGACAAUGGGCGAAAGCCUGAUCCAGCAAUGCCGCGUGAGUGAUGAAGGCCUUAGGGUUGUAAAGCUCUUUUACCCGGGAUGAUAAUGACAGUACCGGGAGAAUAAGCUCCGGCUAACUCCGUG